AACAAAAAAUACUGCAAGCCACAUCAGUAAACAAAGAAUGCUGAAGCCACCAAGUCAUCAGCAGCUGCCGCCACCCCCCAGUGAGGACAAGCCUGCAGCCCAGCCGCUGCAGCCACUCACAAGGGUGCCCUUUGAGGGGACUCAGAGUAAGAAAGGACGGGACACUGGCCCUAGAUGGCUAGGUGCUUAUCAAAGGAAAGAAUUAAGUG